rnacentral:misc_RNA from 1 species
UCCACGUUAACCGUGGCAGUCUCACUAGAGUGCUCAACUUAAUGGUAGCAACUAAUGAUAAGGGUUGCGCUCGUUGCGGGACUUAACCCAACAUCUCACGACACGAGCUGACGACAACCAUGCACCACCUGUCUUCCUGCCCCGAAGGGCUUCCCCGAUUAAGGGUAAUUCAGGAGAUGUCAAGUCUAGGUAAGGUUCUUCGCGUUGCUUCGAAUUAAACCACAUGCUCCGCUGCUUGUGCGGGCCCCCGUCAAUUCCUUUGAGUUUUAAUCUUGCGAUCGUACUCCCCAGGCGGAAUACUUAUUGUGUUAACUGCGGCACAGAAGGGGUCGAUACCUCCUACACCUAGUAUUCAUCGUUUACGGCGUGGACUAC